rnacentral:lncRNA from 1 species
CUAUCUCUCUCAAGGCAAGUUUCUCUACUUUUCUGGCUUGUUUUGCAUAUCCAUUUUCAUACAAAUAUUUCACAUACUCUGGAUCCAAUACAAAAUCGCGAAAAUAUUGAUCAUAUGACAUACUUAGGAAUUUUGUCAAACAUAUAGUGUGCAAUACUUUUAACAGCACAUCUUUUUUGUAUAAUUUUUUUUUGUAUUUUUUUUUCAAGUAGCAGCAACACACCAAUUAAUUAAGAACAACAAUUCAACAAAACAACACAACCAG